rnacentral:rRNA from 1 species
UACGGAGGAUGCGAGCGUUAUCCGGAUUUAUUGGGUUUAAAGGGUGCGUAGGCGGCGAGUUAAGUCAGCGGUAAAAGCCCGGGGCUCAACCCCGGCCCGCCGUUGAAACUGGCUGGCUUGAGUUGGGGAAAGGCAGGCGGAAUGCGCGGUGUAGCGGUGAAAUGCAUAGAUAUCACGCAGAACUCCGAUUGCGAAGGCAGCUUACUAAGCCAUAACUGACACUGAAGCACGAAAGCGUGGGGAUCAAACAGG